rnacentral:rRNA from 1 species
AUUGAACGCUGGCGGCAGGCCUAACACAUGCAAGUCGAACGAGUGGAGGACGGGUGAGUACUGGCUGGGAAACUGCCUGACGGAGGGGGAUAACUAAUGGAAACGGUAGCUAAUACUGCCUACCAUCAGAUGUGCCCUGAUGGGAUUCGUUUGUUGGUGGGGUAACGGAUAACCAAGGCGAAGAUCCCUAGCUGGUCGGAGAGGAUGACAAGCCACACGGGAACUGAGACACGGUCCAGACUCCGACGGCAGGCAGAAGUGGGGAAGAUUGCACAAUGUGAGUGAGCCUGAUGCAGCCAUGCCGCGGGUAUGUAGAAGGCCGUCGGGUUGUAAAGUACUUUCAGCGGGGAGGCGUUACCCGCAGAAGAAGCACCGGCUAACUCCGUGCCAGCCGCCGCGGUAAUAC